CCCAAAAUAACCUUGGAUGGGUUCGUGACCUUCUAGAGAAGUGUUCAGAAUAUUUUUAUCUUUAAAACAACCUAUCUUGGGCCAGAUUUGGAGGAGAUUUGAGGCCAAAACGUGGCUGGGCAGAUUUUGGGCAGAUUCUCCUAAUCCAAUUUGGACUUUAUUUCCUAGUAUUAUUUUAUUUUAAUUAGUUUCCUUGUGGGGAUAGAAAAGCUUUACAUUAGC
rnacentral:lncRNA from 1 species